rnacentral:rRNA from 1 species
GAUGAACGCUGGCGGCGUGCCUAAUACAUGCAAGUCGAGCGAACGGACGAGAAGCUUGCUUUUCUGAUGUUAGCGGCGGACGGGUGAGUAACACGUGGAUAACCUACCUAUAAGACUGGGAUAACUUCGGGAAACCGGAGCUAAUACCGGAUAAUAUUUUGAACCGCAUGGUUCAAAAGUGAAAGACGGUCUUGCUGUCACUUAUAGAUGGAUCCGCGCUGCAUUAGCUAGUUGGUAAGGUAACGGCUUACCAAGGCAACGAUGCAUAGCCGACCUGAGAGGGUGAUCGGCCACACUGGAACUGAGACACGGUCCAGACUCCGACGGGAGGCAGCAGUAGGGAAUCUGCCGCAAUGGGCGAAAGCCUGACGGAGCAACGCCGCGUGAGUGAUGAAGGUCUUCGGAUCGUAAAACUCUGUUAUUAGGGAAGAACAUAUGUGUAAGUAACUGUGCACAUCUUGACGGUACCUAAUCAGAAAGCCACGGCGAACUACGU